CUGGUGAACGGCAGCCUGUGCGGUCAAAGGUGGUAUUGCACUCCGACAGUAGCGCCAAUCGUGUUGAGUCUGCCAGAGAGAAGCAGGUGAAGGUGAUUAAAACAUGUCGUUCAUAUGCGGUGAAACUGUGAAAAGUACAGGAUUUUGGAAAAGAAACCGAGUCUCAGCUAGCGGCAGCGAUGGCGGGAGAAGUUCUGUUAACAAACAAACAAGAUGGCGUCGCAGCAGCAAGUGCAGCGGGACGUUAUUAGACACAGUGGACAAGAAGCAGUUCACCUCCACGAAGGAAAAGACUGCAGAUAACAGUGGAUCCUCUUCCCUCGCAGACGAUCUUUGGUCGAGUUCAGACAAGUUUACUUUUGUUCUGUCAUCGAGUUUCUCACAUAAUUAACAUUAAUCAGUGACCGCUGAUCUGAGCUGCUGCCGGAGGCGCUUUGUCUUUUGAACCGGUGGAAGUGACGUCAGCGCCGGCCGAACAGGAGAAGCUGCUUCCUGAAUGUUUUCUGGUGCUCUGAGCUUUGAUGAUGAGGAGGAGGAGGAGGAGAGAGAGUCUGAUGAAGCCAACGUGGACGUCAGAACUCACCUCCACAUGCAGGCUGUACGGCGGGGAGAGCGUCCUGACGUCUUCAAGUCUACAGGUGUAGUUCCCAGAAUCCUCUGGGGUCAGAGAGCUGAGGUGGAAGGCGGGGCCGGACUCUGAGAGGGCGUGG